UCAAUAGAUUAAGAGACGAUAGGGUUAUGGUCUACACUCAACGAGCCCAGUGGCGUUGAUGGAGCCCUAACUUAGCGACUACGUAUUAUUCCGUUGUAUUAUGUGCCAGCAUUGAGUUGUGCCAAUGGGAUAGCAUAGUAAACACAGAGACUUGGAUUCUACCAAAUCCGGGUCGUGACAAGGCCCUUCAUGGAGGGAAGUAGGGAUUUGUAGAGGUACCAGAGAUCAAAGCUUAAAUUGAGAGAUUAAAACAGUUUUGAGAGGCAUACUUUUCCCACCAACAAAAAUGACUUAGAGCUCCCAACACUUUUCAUGCUAGAUACAUCAUAGUCGGUUCCCAAACAGAAAAUAAAGUGUAUUCCUUUUUUCACCAAUACUUUCA